AUUGAACGCUGGCGGCAGGCCUAACACAUGCAAGUCGAACGGUAACAGGAAACAGCUUGCUGUUUCGCCGACGAGUGGCGGACGGGUGAGUAAUGUCUGGGAAACUGCCUGAUGGAGGGGGAUAACUACUGGAAACGGUAGCUAAUACCGCAUAACGUCGCAAGACCAAAGAGGGGGACCUUCGGGCCUCUUGCCAUCGGAUGUGCCCAGAUGGGAUUAGCUAGUAGGUGGGGUAACGGCUCACCUAGGCGACGAUCCCUAGCUGGUCUGAGAGGAUGACCAGCCACACUGGAACUGAGACACGGUCCAGACUCCUACGGGAGGCAGCAGUGGGGAAUAUUGCACAAUGGGCGCAAGCCUGAUGCAGCCAUGCCGCGUGUAUGAAGAAGGCCUUCGGGUUGUAAAGUACUUUCAGCGGGGAGGAAGGGAGUAAAGUUAAUACCUUUGCUCAUUGACGUUACCCGCAGAAGAAGCACCGGCUAACUCCGUG
rnacentral:rRNA from 1 species